rnacentral:rRNA from 1 species
CACGUAGGCGGAUCGUUAAGUCGGGGGUGAAAUCCCAGGGCUCAACCCUGGAACUGCCUUCGAUACUGGCGAUCUUCGAGUCCGGGAGAGGUGAGUGGAACUCCGAGUGUAGAGGUGAAAUUCGUAGAUAUUCGGAAGAACACCAGUGGCGAAGGCGGCUCACUGGCCCGGUACUGACGCUGAGGUGCGAAAGCGUGGGGAGCAAACA